rnacentral:lncRNA from 1 species
CACGACGCGGCCACCAGCAGGUCAGCAAGCGACACCACAACGGGUUGCAAACCUGGUGCCUGUAGAACCGCCACCGCGGUGGUGACUGGCACACUCCCAGCAGCCAGCGGAAGUCCCUGCAGCGGCUGGACCGGUGGCAAGACGUCCUGCAGCCCCUGCACCUCCAACAACGGAGACGACUGGAAGAGGAGGGGGUGGCGAGUGGCGGUUGGGGGACGGGGAAAUUUAAGAAACAGCAGCAGUUCAGAUAUGGUGUGGUUGGUAAGGGUCGAGAUGAGGAACGAAACAUGCAUGUGUAUUAAUUAAGGGCUUUAUGUAGCCACAAACUCAGGACAACAUCGUUUCCUACCCAUGCAUUAAUCAUGUGAUACAUAUCCGCAACCCACUGUUGCGAGUAUUAUUGAAAGGGAAAGGGUGGAGAGCCGGGGAAUGGAUACUAACCCACCGAGUGAGCCACCAACCCACUACUGGCUCACGCUUCACCGCUCACCAGGUAGGCCGUGGCAAGCAGAUUGCUGAUCCUCCUUAUCACAUUGUCUCCUCCAAAGUCUCCGAACUGGCCUUUCUCGUUGAAGCUGCGACUUAGGCACUGAAGCAUAGGGCCCACCUCCUCCCUGUCCAGCUGGGAUAGGGACCCCAAAUCCGCGCUGUAGUCCUCCCGCGGAAACUGCGUCAAGAUGCGCCGACAUGCAGCUGUUUAAUUUCGGAACCAUGUUUAUAAAAACUACCGUACUGCACAGAGUAUCAUCGCGGCACAGCGUGUGAAUGAAGGGGUGCGGAAGGCAGGAAGGUAAGUACAUGCCUGUAUACCGUACAUAUACAUCAAUCUGUCAGUUGGGAACAUCGACUUUCCCCGCCGGACCAAGCACAUAUAACAUACACACACACACAUAUGCUUGAUGGGUAGCCAUUCGCGUCAUCUUAGAUCGCAUGAUGCAUGUCAUGUAGCUAAUUACAUAAAGACAUCUAUCCUAUAUUAUAUAUUCACAAACCAUGCGAUAAAGUAACCUAAUGACUCACAUUAAUAGUGGUAUCUAGACCCCAGAAUACGAUUGCGGCGAUAUCGAACGCCCGGGCCGCCAUCCGCUCGGUCUUGUAUGCUCCCAGGUAGUACUGCUUUCCCCUGUUCCUCUUUCCUGGAUGGUCCUUCUUGCGAGGCACUGUUGGGUCCCACAGGUGAGCCUCCCAUUUCUUUGUGUUCUUGUGCCUGCAAGGUUAGGGAUUGGGGCGGUUUCGGCGAGGCCAGGAGGGGACUGGGUGCAUGAAAUGCCGCAACACUAGGUGGUGAGCCGCGCGUGGCCCUACAAAUACGCGCAUGUAAUUAUGCCUCGCUUCAUGAGGGAUGACGUCAGAGUGGUGGCCGGAUGGCAGGAUUGGGAUGAUGGGAAGUUGGACAUGGCUGCUGGGAUACAUACGUAGUUAGCUAACUAGAUGGAAUGGAGUGGUAAGGGAUGGAGGAUGUGUAUCACCUACCAGCUAACGCCCUUGAACUGAGAGCUCUUAUUUAUUGAACCACUGUCCGUUCUACGUGUCUGGCUGUUGGCGGUGUUCUCCAUCGUCGUCGCAUUGACGGGGUCAUCGCCUUCAAGGCCGCCGCCAUGGCCGUGGUCGAGAUGGUUGCUACCGACAUUACCAGAAGAGCGGUUGCCGGCCCUGGUGGUAGUGGACGCCUUUCCCCGCCUCUUGUUAGUGGAGCUACCGCCGCGGCGGCGAUGGCAACUGCGUUUGGUGGCUGUACCGCGCACUGGGGGUGCUUUCCGACUUGAGGUCGGCACUGCUACUGCUGGCAGCGGACGCGCAGGGGGAGUGGUGUCAUUGGGCGGGGGGACAGAAGGGUCAAGACAGAGGCUCUGGAUGAACCCAUUCGACGGCACAGGCUCCAUCCGCAGGCGAUUGAUUUACGAUAUUGCCUAGAGCACAAGUGUUGCGAGUAGUGUUAUUCCUGGAAAUGAUACGGAAAGAUAGUAGAUCUACUCGUAAUCCAUGUAGCUUGGGGAACACACUCUUAUGCCUUAUUGAUGACUGGUCACCAAUAAGCUUUUAUGAGCAUGAGUUCCCCUCACGUAGAUACGACCAUGGGAUGGGGAGACAAGGAAAGGGUCUUAUCGCUCGGUCCUAUGCUUGGUUGGUGGCAGAAAUCUUGUACUGUUCGAUGAAGUAUUUAACUUGCCUAGCUAGGCAGCCCAGGCAUUCCUAGGCACACCUAAACAGGCAUCCCUCGAGGGCGACAUACCCCGAGGUGAUCAAGGCGCGGCGAGGUACCCCGAGGCGCGGCAUCGGUUGAUGCUAUGCAGUUCUCCGUCGCUUCCCCCUCGGACAUAGAUAAAGUUCCCCCCAAGUAUUUGCCAAGGCCACGCGAAAGUCCCCAUACACGCACAAUCUUCUGCCUCGGGCUAGAAGGUUUACGAUUGCCUCUCCCUUUUUUUAAUUUAUGCGGAAACUAGAUAAUUAUUCUGUGACUAUAAUUUACAACAAAAAGUAGUCAUUUAGACGGCACAUUACGCCAACCCUGCUUGCCGAGGCUUCUAGGAUCUAGCUCGUCUAUCUGCCGGAGUAUCGAACGGUAGGUCCUAUUAGUGGUGACAUUACUAUUUUUGACGAUGAGAUGGGACGGAGCUUAGUGCGCGCACACUACCGCUUUUUUCACUUAACAUUAUACAUGCUUUUUUAAGGUAUUGUCACUGCUUUUACUCACCGUCCAAACCACAUGCGCCCCUGUGUCAGAGGGUUGACGACACCAACGCAUUGCUGAACGAAUCUAUGAUGAUUGCACUUAGACGUCAUGAUUGAGUCCGUGGAGCGACCACGGAGAACUGCGCAUUUUACAGAACAACGUUUAACCUAGAGUGCGAGGUCCGCAUUCAGCCGCCAGGAAAUAUGACGUGACACCACUGCAACCGACUCUGGCAGGAUGUACACUGGCUAGUAACAUAUGUACAGCCUCAACACUUUCAAAACGCCUCAGCUUCUCGAGCUACAACUCACCUACUCGCACGCAUACUUCUCAUGCUAGCUAUGCAAUAAAACACCACUGUUAAAUGCGGUUUGGUAUUGUGGUGUUUCAGUAUCAUGAAAAUCCCAGACUUCUCAGGCAUGUGAGCCGUGUUCACCGUAUGCCUUACACGAGCUCGUCAUAACCUGACGCAGCUUCACCGGUGCCCGAACAAAGACAUAGAACGGUAGUUGGCUCCGCAACAAUGCUAGUAUUACUGCGUACCGACGGCAUAUUUAUUUUUUUUGUCGAAGGGGAGCGGAGUCAACGGCCACAUCCCACUCUCCUAACUAACACGCUACUGCCAACCCCUACAAAUCUCCCGUCACGUGCAUCAGCUACUAUUUACCGUACCCCACCGCAAACUACCCAGCCAACCUACGUGCACCUCAAGAACAGGCCACUCUUCCAUUCGCCUCCGUUGUUGGAGGUGCAGAGGCUGCGGGACGUCUUACCAUCGGUCCAGCCGCUGCAGGGACUCCCGCUAGGGGCCCGUGUGCCGGUCACCACCGCGUUGGUGGUUCUACAGGUGCCAGCAGACUUGCAAUAUCGUUGUGGCGUCCCUUACGUCAUGCUGGUGGCCGCGUCGUGGAGCCCGUGCGCUGGCCCAGCCGUAAUGCCGCUGCCAGCCUUGGAGGCUGCGCUACCACAGCAGCCCACAGAGGCGGCAGUCGCGGCGGUGGUGCCACAGCCAGCAGCUGCGGCACUUGAUGACAUUACUCCUGACCAAAAUUUCAUUCAGCGUUCGUUGCGCGAGGUAUUGGAUGGGUCCGUGUGGGACUAGAACGCAUGNNNNNNNNNNNNNNNNNNNNNNNNNNNNNNNNNNNNNNNNNNNNNNNNNNNNNNNNNNNNNNNNNNNNNNNNNNNNNNNNNNNNNNNNNNNNNNNNNNNNNNNNNNNNNNNNNNNNNNNNNNNNNNNNNNNNNNNNNNNNNNNNNNNNNNNNNNNNNNNNNNNNNNNNNNNNNNNNNNNNNNNNNNNNNNNNNNNNNNNNNNNGGAGCUCCCACACUGACCCAUCCAAUACAUCACGCAAAAAGUCUAAGAAGUCUUGGUCAGGAUUAAUAACGUCAAGUGCCACAGCUGCUGGCUGUGGCACCACCGCCGCGACGGCCGCCUCUGUGGGCUGCUUCUCCAAGGCUGGCAGCGGCUGGGCCAGCGCAGGGGCUCCACGACGCGGCUACCAGCAUGUUCGCAAGGGAUUCCACAACGGGUUGCAAGCCUGCUGGCACCUGUAGAACCGCCACCGCGGUGGUGACCGGCACACGGGCCCCCAGCGGGAGUCCCUGCAGCUGUUGGACCGAUGGUAAGACGUCCUGCAGCCUCUAGCAAUGGGGACCACUGGAAGCGGGGCGGGUGGCGGGUGGCAUGGGGAAAAGAAGCGGGUUAUGGAAGGGUUGGAAAGUAGUAAGAGAAACGGAUCCAGAUACGGUGCAGUAGGGAAGUUAGGGAUGGGAUGGUGGGAGGAUGUGAAAUUUGGUCCGAAAGACAGGUGCAGGCGCAUCGUCUAAGUUUUUGGGACCAUAAUACAUGUUGACAGUUACCUGUUCCAAGCUGACACACUUACAUUCACAUACAUUCGGUAAUCCUACCACAUGGGUAAAUGUAUCAGAACCCCAAAACACGAUGGCUGCGAUGUCAAACACCUGCGCCGCCAGGAACUCCGUCUUGUAUGCUGCCAGGAAGUGCUGUUUGCCCUAGGACCUCUGUCCCGUCCCAACCGUGUCACACAUCCCCGUGGAUCCCACAAAUGGGCCUCCCACUUGUUGGCGUUACGGCGCAUUAGAGGGGACAGGUAGCGGCAAGCAGGGUAAGGGGCCAGGAGGGGACUGGGCGGUGGCCGCUACCCCUCCCCGCACAUGCACCGUAACGCCAACAAAAGUGGGAGGUCCAUUUGUGGGAUCCGACGGGGAUCUGCAGGAGACGUGAGCCGGGACAGAGGUCCAAGAGCAAACAGCACUUCUUGGCAGCAUAGAAGGCGGGGCUACUGGCGGCACAGGUGUUGGGCAUCGCAGCAAUCGUGUUCUGGGGUCUCGAUACCCUUACCCAUGUGGGUCACCAAGAUUACCGUAUGCAUGUGUACGGCGUGUCUAAGGUGUACAGGAUCCCUACAUAGCUUUAUGUCUGAUAAUGAACGGCCAGUGAGAGGGCAACCGCCCAAGGGUGUAUCCUAUUAUGGAUUUGUCCCCAGCCCGCCAACCCUUUCCUCUUUUCAUGAGGCCCCGCCGUGGGUUUAUGCUACGCUAAUACCGAAUGAGGCAUGGGUCCCGUCCCCAGCUUACGGUUGCAGCUCUUACCCAAUUCGUCUUGCUCCAUCCCGGCCUGGUCUCAACUCACGACGAGAAGGCGUUACGGUUGAUUGUCGACGCAGCCGGCAGCUGCAGCAGCGGUGGCGGUGGUGCUGCAGGCGCAAAGGUGAUAACAGGAUUUACAGGACGCAGAACCUGCGCCUGGAGCCAUACCAUGUAGUACAUGGAUCUCAAUACCUGUUCUCAAACGCCGGACAUAUAAUUAAAGGCGCCUUCUGAUGUAAGGGCAAGGGGAAGCGAGUAAUGGCGGCCCUGACGAUACGACGACAGUGUGUAGACCCCUGCAGCAAGCUCACCACUUCUGCUGAUAAUUGGCUGAUCAAAAUACUCACAAAGCAGAAGAAUUGUAUUCAUUUUCAUUGAAAAUUGGCGAAUGGAAAUCGGCUUGUAAUCUUGGGAUAUGAUCAUUGGCUUUAUAUAUGGAUUUCCCUAGUUAUCGGCAGUACAAAAGGCCUACGAGGAAGGUGGGCGCAGCCUCGAAGGUGGCGCCCGGUGUCGGUCGUUUCCCUGCCAAUCCGCAUCGCCAAAUCUCCCGUGCCGAGGCAAGGGCUUCCUAGGAGGUCCCAGGCAGCUGUCCUGUCCCCACGUCCUAUAUGGUUGCCGAUAAGCCUGCCCUGGCCUGGCUUAGCGCCUAGAUAGGCACGAGCCUAGAAACCAUGAUGUUAUCUAUUUUUUGACGGCCCCAGUAACCGCAACCCUCCCAUGCAUGGGCGCUAUUACAGGGUUGUUGAUGGCCCCUGCGCAUGGGGAGGGGCUUUGCGGACAUUUUGAGGACAGCGACACACCAGGCCCACCAUCGCAGCAUAACAUGUUGCUCCAUGUUGCUGCGACUUACGGCAGCGCCCUUACCCGCAAGCAUAUCCCGUUGGCCAGUGGCCCACGAGUCGCCCUCUAUCUCCUCUCCCCCUUGCCUUCCUUACCCCAUCCCCAAACACAUUCCUUGCCCCCAAGCCCCCAAGAUACGGUUCUGGCCCACCCCCGCUGAUACCUAGUUGGACGGCCCCUUCACCGUAACUGCCGAAGGGAUCUAACUCCGUUGAAUAUCUCCAUCAUCAGGCCGGCGAGUAUCUCCCCCAAGUACUCUACCUGGUGUUACAAGUGCUACCGCUGUCGCAGACCCCGCACACGCCAAGACUGUGGCGCUGCCACUGCUGCCGCUACUGCUGUUGAUGCUACUGCCGUUGCUGCUGCUGUAUCUGCCACUGCUGCUACCACUCAACUGUUAAAGCUACCACUUUUGCAUGCUGCCACCCGAACUGCUGUUGCUGCUGCCGCUGCUGCUGCCGCCACCGAGUGACCCAUAGGCCCAUUGAUGCAGUCCGGCCACCGUGCGGCCGCCGCCAUUAACACUGCUGCUGCCAUCACCGCACGUUAUUAGUCGUGCCUCUGGCCCUGGCAGCCUUACGCUGUCAGCCUGCUGGCUCCAGUGUUUCUUUCAUUACCACUGACGGGAAGGGCCCGAAGCCCCCAUAUCCCGACACGCCAUGCCAGGACUCCUUGUCGCGCGAUCGUUUCCUUUAACGCCACUACCGCAUAUCCUUCACUAGCAAAUGCCGCACCUGAUUCAGCUGCUGCCCCUGCAUACUAGGAGAGAAUGAACCAGUACAAGUUCGUGCAUGUAGCACAUCUUGGGGCUGCAGUUUCCACAGCUCCGGGCCCAGCGGCAGCAGCGCCAGCAGACUAAUGGCAACACUGCUUGAGCGCUCCAUGUCCCCUGACUUCCCAAGCGCCGUCCCUGGUCAUCACUGGCCUUGUCAUGGACCUGGUGACUCACAGAGAUGACAAUUGCAACAGCCGCGAUCAAUGCCUACCUAUGCAAAGAGGCUGGACGUGCGAGAACACCUUGGCUGAACCCAAGGGGGUCCCCACCGGGGCCGCCGGGGUCAAGGCGUGCCGUUACCAUCAUUGAAUGAGGACAUCGCUGUGAUGGAGCGCGCCCUGGGUAGCUUGCUCACGCGGACGCCCCCUUCCCCCAGCGAUUGCACCAAAGACUGAUGAGCUUUAGGUUGUGCUGUUAAGGAUUAGAGGCCAAUAGGCCCAACGACCGUGAUGAGUACGCCGCAGGUACCUGCAGGCUUUGUAACUUCGGAACGGAGAAAAACGAACAGCAUGCGGUUGGGAAAUGCCCCGCUUGUGGGCUCCCGCUUAUGAUGACUUGAGGGCUGGUUAUGGGAGAGGACUCGAGUUUCAAGGGCGCAACAUGCGCACCGUUAUGACCGAGGGGGCCCCGCCGGCAUUACCUAUCUUUUAUUAUUUCCUUUAUCUCUAGGAGACAGCGCUCCUGCGCUUUGCGCUUCGACGGGAAUGGGAGGAUGACGAUAAUCGCCCCCCACACCGUAACGUUUUCACUGACGGUCCACGGGGUCCCCGGCUUCGACUGACCCCGCACUUGUGCUGACACAGUAAGUGUACAUGUACCUACUUUGAGCCGCGAUUUGCUUGACCGUCGUACCACUAUAUCUGCUGGAAGCUAGGUUGCAGCGGGCAGGUCACUUCCCAAUGGUAUUGGGCUUCCAAGUUCACAGCCGUCCACCCAUGCAUCCAAGGACAACGAAGCCUCGAAGAUAUCUGCGUGGAUAAAUAUAGGUGGAAAGGAGGGCCGGAGUGGAGUGAGCUCCUCCGAGUGUGUGAACGGCGGUCGGUAGAGUAACGGCAGCUGGUCCAAAUUACAGCCGCUUCGGCAGGAUUGGGCCGGAGUGGGGUUUAUCCCGUAAAGUGGUCUAAGGCACUGGCAUGCACAAGGCCACGGCACGAACCUCCCUACGGGUACAGCGUGGCCCCCUUUAUUAGCGAAAUAAUUCAACGUUGUGUGUGAGGCGGAGGCCACGUUGCCUUGAGGCUGCAGCAUCUGCAUGCAUGCGGCUGUUGCAGAUCCGGCCGUCGCAAUAGGUGCCUGUAAUCGUUGGCACAAAGGACGAGGUAGUGGUAGCACUGAAAACAGCGGUAGCAGCUACAGUGCUGUGCGGCAUCGGCGUCGGCGGCCCCAAAAGUGCUCCAGCAGCGACCAUGCUUCCCCUAAUGCCCUUGUUUCCUAUGUAGCGUUUACAUGCUCCUUAUCUAGCUUGCGGUAUCAAGGCUCUUGGGCUUUUGGCUCGUCUGGGCUCGUUACACCCUCUCAUACAGACACAGUGUGGAGGUCCAAGCAAACAUGCGGUGAUUGGGGACAAUGGCACUGGGCGGGGAGAAGCGCAGUUGGGCAAGGCUGAACUGAGCAACCGCGCGGAGCGGAGACAAUACCGAUGCUAUAGAUCUGACAAAGUUUGGAGGAAAGCUAGUUGGCCGCAGCUUGAAGCGAGCUUCCUUUUCGCAAAACAGUUCCACAGCGGCCCAACACUACAUGAUUCAGCACCUAGUCCGCCAGAUCACCGAUUGACUAGUACCUUGUCAUUCGUUCAUGACUCUCGCAAGCCGGUCCGACGACGCGCUUUUGGCCAUGCCUGGCCAGCACGUCGCAGUCAUCCCCCGUAUGAGGCGAAUAAAAUCAUACAGCUAAGACGAUAGUUUGUGUUAUUUGCGAACAAGAAAUCAGGAAAAAUCCCGGGACUCAAAGUAGAUGGCUCGCUGAGAGCAACGUGUGUCUUAGGAGCAGAGCCUGGGAACAAUCUACCGCACCGUGAUAUAGCGCUUAGUUACAUAUGAAUAGGCAUAAACAUAUGAUUAAGAUGGGCAAGGGCAGUUCGGCUUGCUUGAUGCUUGAUAUCGAGCGAGCAAGCAAUAAGCUUAUUGCCCUGAGGGCCUUGCUUCCUAAUUUAAGACUUCCCUGCCUUGGUGUCUAUCUAUCUUUGGGUGAGGCCAACUAUUUCGGAAAACAGGAAUAAACUAAUAGCUUGGGUCAGAUUUCAGGAAAGCUACUAUUGUACGUAGUCGUUGCAUGUGUCCUGAAGGGACCCCGCUGAGCCCCAAGAACACACCGCCCACGCUAUAACAAAGCAAAUCUUCAUCAUUGCCCUCAAACUAACAUGUUAGUGGACCUCUCUCCAGAUUCGCUCAACAGGCUGCAUACCAAAAUCGCCGGCCCUUGCAAGUGCAGUAGUGGGUUCCGUCGCAGAGGCCCAUGAAAAUAACUAAGGUUAGCUCUUAAGUGCUAGAAACACCAUAACGAAUGAAGCUUUGCAUGCUGUUAAUUAUCGCGCGCCGGGCUUCGGUCCAUGGGCUUCGGAAAUGUGGACAAGGCAAUAGCUCGGAGAGCUCGCGAAAUCAAAAUUAUAAUUGUUCGAAUAGCAAUAACUUAUGGAAAUAGGUAGCAUGUGCGUGGAUGGAGACUAUGCUUUUGAGCCUUGCUUGUGCCGAUUCAGUUUCCUACACUUCAUAUCUCAGAGAAAUAUUUCAAAGAUUCGACGUAAACAACUUCCUAUACAGGAUUGGGGUCGUUUAUUUUUAUUCAAGGGCUGCUGGGCCUGCUAUGAACCGUCGCCGCAAGGCAUAGACAAACAAAGAGCAAACAGUAGCAAAAUACAACACCAUAGGGUUCUGUACGAGGCAUGAAUAUAUAAUUUUUCAAUAUUCUCUCAUUCCGUUGCCUCAGACCUCUCACUUUUGGUAUAAGCGUCCCCCCGUUUACACGCCUAGCAGAGCGACAGCUGGGCUGCUCUUGGCGCGAAGGCGAUAGGAAGGCAGGCGGCUGAUGUCUGUGAGGCCUGAUAUUUCCCUUGGUUGUGGGUGUGGGUCUUUGGACUCGGGCAGCGCUGCAGCGCUGGGUCAUUCGGAUGCAGCCGGACUUCGUGACCACCGCCAAGCGCCACUAUUACCACCAGUACCACCACCUCCACCGCCAGUAUCUGUAGUAGCUGGUACACAGUACGGCACACAGGACGUCUAUAAGUACAUCAGAGGCCUUUCAGCGGCCAGCUACUACAGUAUUGUCCUCUAUUGUUGUUGUUGUUACAUGGUCGUGGGUGCGUUCCCCGUACCUGCAAACCACCCUAGUACGAGCCGAGGGCUCAAGGGCUGCCAAAUCGCCUAUAAGCACCAUCCUACCUCGCACUUCCAACGAAACAAGUGAUGAGGUAUACUAACGACCAAAGGGAACGAUAGAGUUACGGUGGGACCAUAUGCGUUCCAGCAUCCUUGCCAGGCGUUCAGGUUCCCACUUCAUAGCGUCCUUCAUAUGUUCGAAGCGUGGAAAGUCCUCUAUUAGUAGUCUGUUGUAUCACGUUUCAGAAGAGUACCGACCGGCGGAUGCAGAUUCCUGAUAUGCCCAGAAUACGACAGAGUCUGCCUUUGCUGUGUUGUGCCAUGAAGCUUCUACCACGCCCUGCACGACGAGUGUGUAUCUCUACCAGGCUCUACAUUUCUUGUGCAACACUCCAAGGGGCGGGCCUCGUCACUCCUUCGGCCACAACUUUCGUUCCUCACGCCCCCAACCCGGCACAACUGCUAAAAUCAGGCACUCGUGGAACAGGCGAGUCGAGGGAAGCCUUCAGUUAUUAGCAAGCAAGGGCCUUAUUGCUCGGUAUCAAUCAUCAAGCAAGCCGACCGGCCCUUGCCCCUCUUAUUCACAUGCUUUUGUGUAUAUAGACGCAUAUAAGCUUUUCAUCGUUGGAUGAUAGAUCGUAUCCUGUCUACAGUAGUCUUUAGUAGUUGCUUUCAGCCAAAAACCUGAAGUCCAGGGAUUUUCUUGAUUUUUGUUUUCAAAGUAACACCAUGUAUCAUUUUGACUGUAUAUUCAUAUUAUUCGCGCUUGCGAUGGUGUAUUGCUGGCCAGGGAUGUAUGAUUGCGACAUGCUGCUGGCGACGCACGGCCAAAAGCGCGUCGUCGGACCGGCUUGUGAGAGCCAUGAAUGAAUGACAUAGGUAACCAGGUGCUGAAUAAAUUAAUCUUGGGCGUCUGCGGCAUAAUUUUGGAAAAGUAAGGGUAGCGAAUUGCGUCCAACCCGCUCUCCUUCAUAUUUUGUCAGAUCGGUAUCGUCUCCGCUCCGCUCCGCGCGGUCUCCGCUCGCGGUCUCCGCGCGGAGCUCCGCGCGGUUGCUCAGUUCAGCCUUGCCCAACUGCGCUUCUCCCCGCCCAGUGCCAUUGUCCCCAAUCGCUGCAUGGUUUGCUUGAACCUCCAUACUGUGUCUGUAUGUGUACCCAGAGGGGUGUAACGAGCCCAGACGAGCCAAAAGCCCAAGAGCCUUGAUACCGCAAGCUAGGUAAGGAGCAUGUCAACGCUACAUAGGAAGCAAGGGCAUUAGGAAAGCUUGGUCGCUGCUGAGCACUUUUGGCGCCCCCGACGUCGAUGCCGCGCACCACUGUAGCUGCUACCGCUAUUUCGAGUGCGACCACUACCUCGUCCUUCGUCCUAACGAUUACAGGCACCUAUUGCGACGGCCGGAUCUGCAACAGCCGCAUGCAUGCAGAUGCCGCACCCUCAAGGCAACGUGGCCUCCGCAUCACACACAAUGUUGAAUUAUUUCGCUGUUAAAAGGGGGCCACGCUGUACCCGUAGGGGGGUUCGUGCCGUGGCCAUGUGCAUGCCAGUGCCUUAGACCACUUCACGGGAUGAACCCCACUCCGGCCCAAUCCUGCCUGUGCGGUUGUAAUGUGGACCAACUGCCGUUACUCUACCGGCCGCCGUUCACACACUCCGAUCGGAGAAGCUCACUCCACUCCGGCCCUCCUUUCCACCUAUAUUUAUCCAUGCAGAUAUCUUUGAGGCUUCGCUGUCCUUGGAUGAAUGGCUGGACGGCUGAGAACUUGGAAGCCCAAUACCAUUGGAAAGCGACCUGUCCCCCACACUCGGGGGAAAAUCUACCAGUCCGUAAAAUCAGGCCCCUUCAAUCCGGAAGUUGGUGGCUUGCGCCUUACAGAUACAUGCCUUAGCUUUUACGGAUAUAUGACUUCAUUUUACGGGGGACAUGGAGCCCUCCAGCAGUGUAGCCAUUAGCCAACAGUGCGCUGCUGCCGCUGGGCCCGGAGCUGUGGAAACUGCAGCCCCAAGAUGUGCUACAUGCACGAAAUUGUUCUGGUUCAUUCUCUCCUAGUAUGCAGGGGCAGCAACUGAAUCAGCGGCGGCAUUUGCUAAUGAAGGAUAUGCGGUAGUGGUGUUAAAGGAAACGAUCGCGCAACAAGGAGUCCAUAUGCUGACGUGGCGUGUCGGUAUAUUGGUAUAUAUGUCGGCUUCGGGCCCUUCCCGUCGGUGAUAAUGAAAGAAGCACUGGAGCCAGCAGGGUGACAGCGUAAGGCUGCCAGGGCCAGAGGCACGACUAAAAACGUUCGGUGAUGGCAGCGGCAGUGUUAAUGGCGGCGGCCGCACGGUGGCCGGACUGCAUCAAUGGGCCUAUGGGUCACUCGGUGGCGGCAGCGGCAGCAGCAGUAGUUCGGGUGGCAGCAUGCAAAAAUGGCCGCUUCAGUAGUUAAGCGGUAUCAGUAGUGGCGGACGCAGCAGCAGCAACGGCAGCCAGCGGUGGCAGCAGCAACGGCAGUAGGAACAGCAGUAGCAACUGCAGCAGCAGUAGCGGCAGCAGUGGCAGCGUCACAGGCUUGGCGUGUGCGGGGUCUGCGACAGCGGUAGCACUUGUAACACCAGGUAGAGUACUUGGGGGAGAUACUCGCCGGCCCAAUGAUGGAGAUAUUCAACGGAGUUAGAUCCCUUCGACAGUUACGGUGAAGGGCAGUCCAACUAGGUAUCAGCGGGGGUGGACCAGAACCGUAUCUUGGGGGCUUGGUAGCAGGGAACGGGGGCUCCGUGUGUAUGUGUUUGGGGAUGGGGUAAGGAAGGUAAGGGGGAGAGGAGAUAGAGGGCGACUCGUGGGCCACUGGCCAACGGGAUAUGCUUGCGGGUAAGGGCGCUGCCGUAAGUCGCGGCUUCUGGAGGAGCAAGGGCCAGACAAUCCUGUCACUAUCGCGUGGCGAUGGGGACAUUAUUAGUUGGGAACCAUGGCAGCAUGGCGCAACAUGUUGGUGGGCCUGGUGUAUCGCUGUCCUCAAAAUGUCCGCAAAGCCCCACCCCAUGCGCAGGGGCCAUCAUCAACCCUGUAAUAGCGCCAAUGCAUGGGAGGGUUGCGGUUACUGGGGCCGGCAAACAGGCUCGUGCCUAUCUAGGCGCUAAGCCAGGCCAGGGCAGGCUUAUCGGCAACCAUAUAGGACGUGGGGACAGGACAGCUGCCUGGGACCUCCUAGGACGCCCUUGCCUCGGCACGGGAGAGUUGGCGAUGCGGAUUGGCAGGGAAACGACCGACACCGGGCGCCACCUUCGAGGCUGCGCCCACCUUCCUCGUAGGCCUUUUGUACUGCCGAUAACUAGGGAAAUCCAUAUAUAUAGCCAAUGAUUCAAUGACUGGAUUGUGUACAUGCCCUGCACACCCAUUCCGUGACCAGGUCCAAUAAUAAUAUUUACUUCAUAAAUUGUUUUAUUUCACUGGUAUGUGCAUCAGGGAAAGAGCUUGCUGCAGGGAUCUGUAUACUGUCGUCGUCAGGGUUGUCAUCACUCUACCUUUUGUCCCUACAUCAGAAGGCGCCUUUAUCUACGUAGCCGGAUUAUUUACAUUGCAUUGCCACGUAUUGCUCCAGGGUCCAGGCUGUAGGCUGUAUCACAUUCACGUGGUAGGCUGCUCCAGCGAAAACACCACUACCACCGCUGGCUGCAGCUCUGUCGGCAAUCAGCAGUGUUGCUUCUCAUCGUGAGGUGUGAAAGGACUGGAAUGGGGUAAGAACGACGGAUAAGAGAUGUAACCAUAAGCUGGGGACGGGGUGGUUUGUACGUACCCAUACCUUCUCACAGACAACACACGCCUGGAUAUACCAUUCCCCCAACCUAGGCCGCAGCUACAGCCCUGAUCAUAUGUUACAUCCCCCACCACCAUCGCAUCCCUUUCCAACCUGCCCACACCCCUUUUACUUUCCAACCUGCCCACAUCCCCUUUACCUUCCAACCUGCCCAUAUCCCCUUCCUAUAUCUCCUUUUCCCCAUGCCGUGCCUUCAGUCAAGCCGGGCACCGCAGCUGGGAAAUCGUCCAUCCAUCACCACUGUGUUGGCGGUUCUGCAGGCGCCUAGUACCAUCGGUCCAGCCGCUGCAGGAACUUCCGCUUGCUGCUGGCCGUGUACCGGUCACCACCGCAUUGCCGGUUGCACCGGCACCCGCAGGUUUGCAAGCGACACCACAACGGGUUGCAAAUCUUCGGGUGCCGGUGCAACUGCCAAUGCAGCGGUGAUCGACGCCUAGCAUGGAUGCUGCUGCCUGGGCGACUGUGCGGCCUCCCCACUAUGGCACUUAUGUCCGACCUAAGCCAGGACUGGAACAGCAUGUCGUAAUGGUGCUUUGGUGUCGUAACGUUCCCAGUACGGAUUGGUAAAGCUGCACAUCAUGAUGGGCAAUGCUCGCUGCCGCCCAUGGCAUCACGGGCGCAUGGGGCUGGGACGAUGAUUUUCGUCUGUUCCCAGCCAUCAUGCGGUCUUGUGCCUGAUGACUGCCCUGCACAAAAUCUCCUUGACCUCCCUUUAUCUGCACAACUUGUAAUCCGAAAUACACACAAUCUGCAUGGCAGUGCAUAUUUCCCUUGCAACUCCCUUGCCUGAUCCCUUUGAAGAGUCCCUCCACCUUUCCAUGAAGCUUUCACUCUUACUAUUCUGACCUUGGAGCCUUCGUAGCUCCGUUUGGCAGGGCAUCGGGGCACCAUGGUUUGCGCUUGUUGCAUGCAGCGGUUUGUUGCCGCUGUGAGACUCACGAGCUUUGAACUCUGAGCCCCGGGGUGCCCCAUAUUCGAUUAUGUAUGCUCGCCAUGUGUGGGUUGGGUUGUACAGCUGUGAAGGGUUCGGUUGUACAGCUUCGCGCUCACGUUGGCGUUACCAGAUGUGCUCAGCUCUUGGAUGGAUCCAGGGCGUGGAUGUGGGCUGUGAUGUUGUUAGGGAUACAUAUCUGUACGCACUAUCAGCACACACUAGCGCCCAAAGGGCUUACCGAGUUGCGGGUGUUGUGAUCUCGUGCGUCGUUGCUCUAGCGCUGGCGGCUGCUGGUCAGGUUAGGCCCCCACGUUCGCCUGUGUACGAUCGCGUCGUGGUAUGCUCAUGCAUUCCUGUCCCCCUGUGCACCAUUGCUGGUAGCGGCUGAUAGACAGCGACAUGCAGGGGUGUCAGCAGGAUGGACAAUCUGGAUAGUGCAUCUUGGGAUGUUUUAUUCCGAGGCCGUAAUGUGGAGCUGUAUUUGAGUGGAGAUCUUAUGUCUGUACGAUGAUCUGUGGACGAGAGGCAACGGUUACGCACGUUGUUCAUACAAGGCUACGCGAAAAGCGCAUGUAUGGCAGCUAAAUCCUUCAUUUGCUGAUCUUGGUGCCUCAUUUUCUUCGCUGUCUCCGCUUAUUGAUAUCUGUACAUAGGACCGCCACAGAGAUUUGCAUAAGUGUUUAGAAGGUUGUCAAUACUUCGCUACUGGCGUCGCAUAUUGUCCCAGCAGUGGUACACCCAUCUUCACUAGCGAUAUGGGCCGCUAUCUAUGACAGAUCCACCAGGAAGCUACAUAGAUAGCGGGUUAAGCGGACCUGGCUAUAAAGUACUAUUUUUACUAAUGAAGUACUAUUUUUACUAAUGAGCAUCAAUCAACACGACUUAACUUGUGGAAAUGAUUUGUUUGUUUUAUUUAAUUAUACUAACAAAUUAAUCAAUUUCUACACUUCUUUUUCAUCGGCACUUUGUCUGUGCCGCAGUGUUGUCUUGGAAGAGAAUUCAAAGCCCAUGUUCAAGCCUGGGAACGUAUAACACAAAACACCAGAUAAUGAUAUUUAAUGUGAUAUUCACAUUUACUUGGGUGAACUAUUGCACCUGGGC